GUUCAUUGUUUGGCAAACAGGAGUGUUAUGAAGUUGUCGGGGUUCAAAUGCGGUGAUCAGGGAUCAUACGCGCGAAAAUAAUUGUUCGAGGUCCAAGAAAAAGCAAAAAAAAAAUCAAUCAAAGAAGUACCGGGGUUCAAGAAAAAAAAAAUCAAAAAGUUGUGGUGUCCAAGAAAAGCAAAAAAAAAUAUAAUAAUCCCCAGCGGAGUGCAAAUUGUUCAUCUGUUCUUGGUAUUCAAUCACUCUUCAUCCUGAUCAUCU
rnacentral:lncRNA from 1 species